rnacentral:rRNA from 1 species
GUAGUCCACGCCCUAAACGAUGUCAACUAGGUGUUGGGAGCGCAAGUUCUCAGUACCGCAGCUAACGCGUGAAGUUGACCGCCUGGGGAGUACGGUCGCAAGAUUAAAACUCAAAGGAAUUGACGGGGACCCGCACAAGCGGUGGAUGAUGUGGAUUAAUUCGAUGCAACGCGAACAACCUUACCUACCCUUGACAUGUCCGGAAGGCUGCUGAAAGGCGGUUGUGCCCGAAAGGGAACCGGAACACAGGUGCUGCAUGGCUGUCGUCAGCUCGUGUCGUGAGAUGUUGGGUUAAGUCCCGCAACGAGCGCAACCCUUGUCCUUAGUUGCUACGCAAGGGCACUCUAAGGAGACUGCCGGUGACAAACCGGA